CCAUUCUCAGGAUGGCACCUGGAGAGUUUUCAGUGUUCUACUAGUCUCGGUUUUGGGAAGGAGAGUCAAGCAGAGGCAUACCCAUUCCAAUUCUAGCUUGGGCAAUGGCUAGCAAGUGGAAGGCAAUCUGCUGCAACU